ACAUUUCAACGAUGUAUUUGGAGAACCCGAUGGAGUACACAGUAUUGACUGUGUAUGGAAACUAUCUGCUAAAUGUUUCGAUUGCUGGAAGCUUCUUUGCUACAACAUACUGACAAUAUUCUAUGGUGUCUGCAUUGCGGCUGAGUGGGGCUGUGAAUUUGCUGUCAUUGCUUUCUAUCAUAUUUGGAUCAUUUCACCCUGCAUGAAGAUUUUUGAAAUUAAUUGUGGAAUUUGUCAAAGGAUUUAUUCUACUUGUGUGAAUUGCUGUAUAGUACCGUGGUGCGAGGCCUUCGGAAGUUUAUUCAGUGCCUUCAAGAAGUAAACCAUAGUACCAUUGUGCGAGGCCUUCGGAACCAUUAUCAGUGCCUUGAAGAAGUAAACUAGACUUUGCAGCGUGAGCUAGUAGUACCAUGCAGACAUAUCAAAAGACAUCAGUACAUUUUAUUGUAACUUAGCACAUGCUUUUCAUUGUAAGACCUAUGCGUAGAUAUUUGUAGAACCACAACAAAAGGAGGACAGUUAUAAUACACAAACACAUUUAUUUAUGUACCUGUAUUUCCAAACCACG
rnacentral:lncRNA from 1 species